CGAAUUUUUCACAAUGGGCGCAAGCCUGAUGAAGCCACGCCGCGUGCGGGAUGAAGGCCCUCUGGGUUGUAAACCGCUGUCGAGGGAGGGGAACCGCUGCAAGUGAACAGCUUGCAGUCUGACUGCUCUCUGAAGGAAGCCCCGGCAAAACAUGUGCCAGCAGCCGCGGUAAUACAUGUGGGGCAAGCGUUGUUCGGAAUUACUGGGCAUAAAGGGUGCGUAGGUGGUUGGUUAAGUCAGGGGUGAAAUCCCGCGGCCCAACCGUGGAACUGCCUUUGAUACUGGCGAACUUGAGUGCGUGAGGGGUAGGGGGAACGAGCAGUGUAGCGGUGAAAUGCGUAGAUAUUGCUCGGAAGGCCAGAGCCGAAGGGGCCCUACUGGUGCGUAACUGACACUGAGGCACGAAAGCGUGGGGAGCAAAC
rnacentral:rRNA from 1 species